rnacentral:rRNA from 1 species
AUGCACGCUGGCGGCGUGCCUAAUACAUGCAAGUCGCGCUAACAGAUGAGGAGCUUGCUCCUCUGACGUUAGCGGCGGACGGGUGAGUAACACGUGGAUAACCUACCUAUAAGACUGGGAUAACUUCGGGAAACCGGAGCUAAUACCGGAUAAUAUAUUGAACCGCAUGGUUCAAUAGUGAAAGACGGUUUUGCUGUCACUUAUAGAUGGAUCCGCGCCGCAUUAGCUAGUUGGUAAGGUAACGGCUUACCAAGGCAACGAUGCGUAGCCGACCUGAGAGGGUGAUCGGCCACACUGGAACUGAGACACGGUCCAGACUCCUACGGGAGGCAGCAGUAGGGAAUCUUCCGCAAUGGGCGAAAGCCUGACGGAGCAACGCCGCGUGAGUGAUGAAGGUCUUCGGAUCGUAAAACUCUGUUAUUAGGGAAGAACAAAUGUGUAAGUAACUAUGCACGUCUUGACGGUACCUAAUCAGAAAGCCACGGCUAACUACGUG